ACUCAAAUGAAUUGACGGGCACCCGCACAAGCGGUGGAGCAUGCUGUUUAAUUCGAAGAUACGCGAAAAACCUUACCUAGACUUGACAUACCUGGCAAAGCUAUAGAGAUAUAGUGGAGGUUACCCAGGAUACAGGUGGUGCAUGGUUGUCGUCAGCUCGUGUCGUGAGAUGUUCGGUUAAGUCCGUUAACGAGCGCAACCCUCAUCCUUAGUUACUAACUAUUCGGUAGAGGACUCUAAGGAUACUGCCGGUGAUAAACCGGAGGAAGGUGGGGAUGAUGUCAAAUCAUCAUGCCCCUUACGUCUAGGGCUACAGGCGUGCUACAAUGGCCAAUACAAUGAGAUGCAACGUCGUAAGACUGAGCAAAUCUCCAAAGUUGGUCUCAGUUCGGAUUGAGGUCUGCAACUCGACCUCAUGAAGCUGGAAUCGCUAGUAAUCCUGAAUCAGAAUGUCAGGGUGAAUACGUUCCCGGGUGUUGUACACACCGCCCGU
rnacentral:rRNA from 1 species